AGAUGGCGACCGGCGCACGGGUGAGUAACACGUAUCCAACCUGCCGAUGACUCGGGGAUAGCCUUUCGAAAGAAAGAUUAAUACCCGAUGGCAUAGUUCUUCCGCAUGGUGGAACUAUUAAAGAAUUUCGGUCAUCGAUGGGGAUGCGUUCCAUUAGGUUGUUGGCGGGGUAACGGCCCACCAAGCCUUCGAUGGAUAGGGGUUCUGAGAGGAAGGUCCCCCACAUUGGAACUGAGACACGGUCCAAACUCCUACGAGAGGCAGCAUG
rnacentral:rRNA from 1 species